CGGUGCCUCUUGAGGCACGGCUUUUCCUAUGGCCUGUGAUGGACCCAACUGCCACCAUUGAAAGCCAGCAGCGGAACAACUGGGAGCAGCCCCCUAAGUGUGUCAGGAUCGUCACUGAAAGAGCAUAGCUUGCUGAAACUGCAUGGCAGCACCUACCGACUGGUCCGACAUCUGAAUGCUGGGCGUCAUCUGCAGCUCUUAAGACAUAAAGAUGUUCCUAGAGAAAACCUGAACUUGGGGAGCUGUCUCCUGUCGCCUGUGGCAUGGCUUUUCCUAUGGCCUGGGCUGGACCAAACUGCCACCAUUGAAAGCCAGGAGCAGAACAACAACUGGGAGCGGUCCUCCAAGCGUGUCAAGAUCGUCCGCGAGGAGCAUGGCUUGCCGAAACUUCAUGGCAGACCGCUCUGAUAGCCAUUAGGGCUGAAGGGUGGGGUAUAAAUACUAUAAAUAAAAGAAAUGGCGGCACAUAAAGACUUCCAUGGACUGCCAGCUUAGUAUUGAUUGUUGCAGCAGAGAGGCAAGGUAUAAGAAUAACGUUUAUUUAUUAUAGCAGGAGGCAGUGGCAACAGCAGCGUAAGCACCGUUUGAACCUGUGCUUGGAGCCACACGGACAUUCGGCUGUUUGCCAUCCAUCACAUCAGUCCCAAAGGUACCUGUGGCCUCCUAGCACUAGUAAGGUUGGGGCUUAUCUUUUAGGGAGCACUAGUCCAUGACGCUUGUGCAGGAAAACAUUCCCAAAGACCAUUAUAUUUAGAGAGUUAAGAGCAGGAGAACAGGUAGUUCGAAGCCUGCCAAGCGUUGGUUGGUUUUCUAUGUAACCGUAUCAAGUUGGAUGUUAACUUUAUUUCUGUAUGCUUCUCAAUAAAAACUACUGUUUGUUUUA